rnacentral:rRNA from 1 species
AACGAACGCUGGCGGCAUGCCUAACACAUGCAAGUCGAACGAACCCUUCGGGGUUAGUGGCGCACGGGUGCGUAACACGUGGGAAUCUGCCCUUUGCUUCGGAAUAACAGUUAGAAAUGACUGCUAAUACCGGAUAAUGUCGCAAGACCAAAGAUUUAUCGGCAAAGGAUGAGCCCGCGUAGGAUUAGCUUGUUGGUGGGGUAAUGGCCCACCAAGGCGACGAUCCUUAGCUGGUCUGAGAGGAUGAUCAGCCACACUGGGACUGAGACACGGCCCAGACUCCUACGGGAGGCAGCAGUGGGGAAUAUUGGACAAUGGGCGAAAGCCUGAUCCAGCAAUGCCGCGUGAGUGAUGAAGGCUUUAGGGUUGUAAAGCUCUUUUACCAGGGAUGAUAAUGACAGUACCUGGAGAAUAAGCUCCGGCUAACUCCGUGCCAGCAGCCGCUGUAA